UACGUAGGGUGCAAGCGUUGUCCGGAAUUAUUGGGCGUAAAGAGCUCGUAGGCGGUUUGUCGCGUCGGCCGUGAAAACCUGCAGCUUAACUGUGGGCUUGCGGUCGAUACGGGCAUCACUGGAGUUCGGCAGGGGAGACUGGAAUUCCUGGUGUAGCGGUGAAAUGCGCAGAUAUCAGGAGGAACACCGGUGGCGAAGGCGGGUCUCUGGGCCGAUACUGACGCUGAGGAGCGAAAGCGUGGGGAGCGAACAGG
rnacentral:rRNA from 1 species